GCUGGGCGCGGUGGCACACGCCUGUCAUCCCAGCAGCUCAGGAGGCUGAGGCAGGAGGGUCAUGAGUUUAAAGCCAGCCUCAGCAAAAGUGAGGCACUAAGCAACUCAGUGAGACCCUGUCUCUA
rnacentral:sRNA from 1 species